rnacentral:rRNA from 1 species
AUUGAACGCUGGCGGCAGGCUUAAUACAUGCAAGUCGUGGGGCAGCGCAGUCCCGCAGCAAUGCGGGAUGGGCGGCGACCGGCAAACGGGUGCGGAACACGUACGCAACCUUCCUUCAAGUGGAGAAUAGGCCAGGGAAACUUGGCGUAAUACUCCGUAACAUUACGAGGUGGCAUCACUUUGUAAUUAUAGCUCCGGCCCUUGAAGAUGGGCGUGCGCCUGAUUAGGAAGUUGGCGGGGUAACGGCCCACCAAUCCUACGAUCAGUAACUGGUGUGAGGGCACGACCAGUCACACGGGCACUGAGACACGGGCCCGACUCCUACGGGAGGCAGCAGUAAGGAAUAUUGGUCAAUGGACGCAAGUCUGAACCAGCCAUGCCGCGUGGAGGAUGAAGGUCCUCUGGAUUGUAAACUUCUUUUAUCUGGGAAGAGGCCCAAGGUUUCUACUUUGGUUGACGGUACCAGAUGAAUAAGCACCGGCUAACUCCGUGCCAGCAGCCGCCGUAA